AGCGAACGCUGGCGGCAGGCCUAACACAUGCAAGUCGAACGAACCUUUCGGGGUUAGUGGCGGACGGGUGAGUAACACGUGGGAACGUGCCUUUAGGUUCGGAAUAACUCAGGGAAACUUGUGCUAAUACCGAAUGUGCCCUUCGGGGGAAAGAUUUAUCGCCUUUAGAGCGGCCCGCGUCUGAUUAGCUAGUUGGUUGAGGUAAUGGCUCACCAAGGCGACGAUCAGUAGCUGGUCUGAGAGGAUGAUCAGCCACAUUGGGACUGAGACACGGCCCAAACUCCUACGGGAGGCAGGAGUGGGGAAUCUAGCGAAAUGGGCGAAAGCCUGACGCAGCCAUGCCGCGUGAAUGAUGAAGGUCGUAGGAUUGUAAAAUUCUUUCAACGGGGACGAUAAUGACGGUACCCGGAGAAGAAGCCCCGGCUAACUUCGUG
rnacentral:rRNA from 1 species